UCGGGAAUUUUGGGCAAUGGGCGCAAGCCUGAUCCAGCCAUGCCGCGUGGAUGAUGAAGGCCUUAGGGUUGUAAAAUCCUUUCGUUGGGGACGAUAAUGACGGUACCCAAAGAAGAAGCUCCGGCUAACUUCGUGCCAGCAGCCGCGGUAAUACGAAGGGGGCUAGCGUUGUUCGGAUUUACUGGGCGUAAAGCGCGUGUAGGCGGACUUGUAAGUUGGGGGUGAAAUCCCGAGGCUCAACCUCGGAACUGCCUCCAAAACUACAAAUCUGGACCUAAGUAGAGGCAAGUGGAAUUGCGAGUGUAGAGGUGAAAUUCGUAGAUAUUCGCAGGAACACCAGUGGCGAAGGCGACUUGCUGGACUUAUGGUGACGCUGAGACGCGAAAGCGUGGGGAGCAAACAGGAUUAGAUACCCCAGUAGUCCCUGAGCGGGCUGGCAAGGCGCAU
rnacentral:rRNA from 1 species